rnacentral:rRNA from 1 species
CGAGCGGAAACGAUAUAAAUGAAACUUCGGUUGAAUUUAUAGGCGUCGAGCGGCGGACGGGUGAGUAAUGCUUGGGGAGUUGCCUAUCAGAGUGGGAUAACUAUUGGAAACGAUAGCUAAUACCGCAUAAUAUCUGAGGAUCAAAGUGUGGGACCUUCGGGCCACAUGCUGAUAGAUACGCCCAAGUGAGAUUAGCUAGUUGGUGAGGUAAGGGCUCACCAAGGCGACGAUCUCUAGCUGGUCUGAGAGGAUGAUCAGCCACACUGGAACUGAGACACGGUCCAGACUCCUACGGGAGGCAGCAGUGGGGAAUAUUGCACAAUGGGGGAAACCCUGAUGCAGCCAUGCCGCGUGUGCGAGGAAGGCCUUAGGGUUGUAAAGCACUUUCAGUAGUGAGGAAGUUAACUAAUUUAAUAGAUUAGUUGAUUGACGUUAGCUACAGAAGAAGCACCGGCUAACUCCGUG